GGGUUGUGAGGUUAAGCGACUAAGCGUACACGGUGGAUGCCCUGGCAGUCAGAGGCGAUGAAGGACGUGCUAAUCUGCGAUAAGCGUCGGUAAGGUGAUAUGAACCGUUAUAACCGGCGAUUUCCGAAUGGGGAAACCCAGUGUGAUUCGUCACACUAUCAUUGCGUGAAUACAUAGCGUAAUGAAGCGAACCGGGGGAACUGAAACAUCUAAGUACCCCGAGGAAAAGAAAUCAACCGAGAUUCCCCC
rnacentral:rRNA from 1 species